GAGUAAUGUCUGGGAAACUGCCUGAUGGAGGGGGAUAACUACUGGAAACGGUGGCUAAUACCGCAUAACGUCGCAAGACCAAAGAGGGGGACCUUCGGGCCUCUUGCCAUCAGAUGUGCCCAGAUGGGAUUAGCUUGUUGGUGAGGUAACGGCUCACCAAGGCGACGAUCCCUAGCUGGUCUGAGAGGAUGACCAGCCACACUGGAACUGAGACACGGUCCAGACUCCUACGGGAGGCAGCAGUGGGGAAUAUUGCACAAUGGGCGCAAGCCUGAUGCAGCCAUGCCGCGUGUAUGAAGAAGGCCUUCGGGUUGUAAAGUACUUUCAGCGGGGAGGAAGGUGUUGCGGUUAAUAACCGCAGCAAUUGACGUUACCCGCAGAAGAAGCACCGGCUAACUCCGUGCCAGCAGCCGCGGUAAUACGGAGGGUGCAAGCGUUAAUCGGAAUUACUGGGCGUAAAGCGCACGCAGGCGGUCUGUCAAGUCGGAUGUGAAAUCCCCGGGCUCAACCUGGGAACUGCAUUCGAAACUGGCAGGCUUGAGUCUUGUAGAGGGGGGUAGAAUUCCAGGUGUAGCGGUGAAAUGCGUAGAGAUCUGGAGGAAUACCGGUGGCGAAGGCGGCCCCCUGGACAAAGACUGACGCUCAGGUGCGAAAGCGUGGGGAGCAAACAGGAUUAGAUACCCUGGUAGUCCACGCCGUAAACGAUGUCUACUUGGAGGUUGUGCCCUUGAGGCGUGGCUUCCGGAGCUAACGCGUUAAGUAGACCGCCUGGGGAGUACGGCCGCAAGGUUAAAACUCAAAUGAAUUGACGGGGGCCCGCACAAGCGGUGGAGCAUGUGGUUUAAUUCGAUGCAACGCGAAGAACCUUACCUGGUCUUGACAUCCACAGAAGAAUCCAGAGAUGGAUUUGUGCCUUCGGGAACUGUGAGACAGGUGCUGCAUGGCUGUCGUCAGCUCGUGUUGUGAAAUGUUGGGUUAAGUCCCGCAACGAGCGCAACCCUUAUCCUUUGUUGCCAGCGAUUAGGUCGGGAACUCAAAGGAGACUGCCAGUGAUAAACUGGAGGAAGGUGGGGAUGACGUCAAGUCAUCAUGGCCCUUACGACCAGGGCUACACACGUGCUACAAUGGCGCAUACAAAGAGAAGCGACCUCGCGAGAGCAAGCGGACCUCAUAAAGUGCGUCGUAGUCCGGAUUGGAGUCUGCAACUCGACUCCAUGAAGUCGGAAUCGCUAGUAAUCGUGGAUCAGAAUGCCACGGUGAAUACGUUCCCGGGCCUUGUACACACCGCCCGUCACACCAUGGGAGUGGGUUGCAAAAGAAGUAGGUAGCUUAACCUUCGGGAGGGCGCUUACCACUUUGUGAUUCAUGACUGGGGUGAAGUCGUAACAAGGUAACCGUAGGGGAACCUGCGGUUGGAUCACCUCCUUA
rnacentral:rRNA from 1 species